UCCGUAGGUGAACCUGCGGAAGGAUCAUUACCGAGUGUAGGGUUCCUAGCGAGCCCAACCUCCCACCCGUGUUUACUGUACCUUAGUUGCUUCGGCGGGCCCGCCAUUCAUGGCCGCCGGGGGCUCUCAGCCCCGGGCCCGCGCCCGCCGGAGACACCACGAACUCUGUCUGAUCUAGUGAAGUCUGAGUUGAUUGUAUCGCAAUCAGUUAAAACUUUCAACAAUGGAUCUCUUGGUUCCGGCAUCGAUGAAGAACGCAGCGAAAUGCGAUAACUAGUGUGAAUUGCAGAAUUCCGUGAAUCAUCGAGUCUUUGAACGCACAUUGCGCCCCCUGGUAUUCCGGGGGGCAUGCCUGUCCGAGCGUCAUUGCUGCCCAUCAAGCACGGCUUGUGUGUUGGGUCGUCGUCCCCUCUCCGGGGGGGACGGGCCCCAAAGGCAGCGGCGGCACCGCGUCCGAUCCUCGAGCGUAUGGGGCUUUGUCACCCGCUCUGUAGGCCCGGCCGGCGCUUGCCGAACGCAAAUCAAUCUUUUUCCAGGUUGACCUCGGAUCAGGUAGGGAUACCCGCUGAACUUAAGCAUAUCAAUAAGCGGAGGA
rnacentral:rRNA from 5 species